rnacentral:rRNA from 1 species
UACGGAAGGCAGCAGUGGGGAAUAUUGCACAAUGGGCGAAAGCCUGAUGCAGCUAUGCCGCGUGUAUGAAGAAGGCCUUAGGGUUGUAAAGUACUUUCAUCGGGGAGGAAAAACAAAACUAAUAAUUUUAUUUCUUGACGUUACCCGAAAAAGAAGCACCGGCUAACUCCGUGCCAGCAGCCGCGGUAAUACGGAGGGUGCUAGCGUUAAUCAGAAUUACUGGGCGUAAAGAGUACGUAGGUGGUUUUUUUAAGUCAGAUGUGAAAUCCCUGGGCUUAACCUGGAACUGCAUUUUGAAACUGAAAUACUAGAGUAUCGUAGAGGGAGGUAGAAUUCUAGGUGUAGCGGUGAAAUGCGUAGAUAUCUGGAGGAAUACCUGUGGCGAAAGCGGCCUCCUAAACGAAUACUGACACUGAGGGUGCGAAAGCGUGGGGAGCAAACAGGGAUUAGAUACC